rnacentral:miRNA from 1 species
ACCUUAGAGACCAACUAAGUUUGUUAUUGGUAUGAGCUUUUGUGUGCAUGCACACUUCUUCAGAUACACACGAAAGCUCAUACCAAUAACAAACUUAGUUGGUCUCUAAGGU